rnacentral:rRNA from 1 species
UCCUUAGAUGUCCGGGGCCGCACGCGCGCUACACUGAAGGAAUCAGCGUGGCUUUCUCCCUGACCCGAAAGGGUUGGGAAACCCGUUGAAUCUCCUUCGUGAUAGGGAUUGGGGCUUGAAAUUGUUCCACAUGAACGAGGAAUUCCCAGUAAGCGCGAGUCAUAAGCUCGCGUUGAUUACGUCCCUGCCCUUUGUACACACCGCCCGUCGCUACUACCGAUUGAACGGUUUAGUGAGGGCCUCGGAUUGGUCUCGGCCCGCUCUUUACCGGGCGGCGCCGUUGGUCGAGAAGACGCUCGAACUUGAUCGUUUAGAGGAAGUAAAAGUCGUAACA